ACGGAUUAUGAUUGGGGGUACGCCUAGGUGGAGAGUUUUAAGUUUUGAGAUGUUUUAAACAAAAAUUGAUGAUUUUAUCUUGGUACUUAUUGGUGAAAGGUUUAAUACAUGUUUUCAGAGUUAUGAGACAAGGAUUGAGAGUUUUCUAAGUUUUAAGGAUUUUAUACAAUUCACAACUAUUUUCUUAAGUGAUGAGUUUAUUUUUACAUGUGAAAGAUGGAAGCAUGUUUUAUUCAAACCGUUG
rnacentral:lncRNA from 1 species